UACAGAGGGGGCAAGCGUUAUUCGGAAUUAUUGGGCGUAAAGGGCGCGUAGGCGGCUUGGCAAGUGGAUGGUGAAAUCCCUCGGCUUAACCGAGGAACUGCCGUCCAAAACUGCUUCGCUUGAGACCGGGAGAGGUGAGUGGAAUUCCCAGUGUAGCGGUGAAAAUGCGUAGAUAUUGGGAGGAACACCAGUGGCGAAGGCGGCUCACUGGCCCGGUACUGACGCUGAUGUGCGAAAGCGUGGGGAGCAAACAGG
rnacentral:rRNA from 1 species